rfam:TPA: Bos taurus chromosome 8, whole genome shotgun sequence.
UCCCUGAUGGUCCAGUGGUUAGGACUCUGCGCUUUCAUUGCUGUAGUCCGAGUUCAGUUCCUGGUCAGGGAA